GACGAACGCUGGCGGCGUGCUUAACACAUGCAAGUCGAACGGAAAGGCCUGCUUUCCCUUGUGGAUUGCGGGUACUCGAGUGGCGAACGGGUGAGUAACACGUGAGUGAUCUGCCCCCAACUUGGGUAUAAGCCUGGGAAACUGGGUCUAAUUCCCGAUAGGACUGCAGGGUGGUGCCUGUGGUGGAAAACGAUUUUCUAGUGGUUGGGGAUGAGCUCGCGGCCUAUCAGCUUGUUGGCGGGGUAAUGGCCUACCAAGGCGGCGACGGGUAGCCGGCCUGAGAGGGUGGACGGCCACAUUGGGACUGAGAUACGGCCCAGACUCCUACGGGAGGCGGCAGUGGGGAAUAUUGCACAAUGGGCGGAAGCCUGAUGCAGCGACGCCGCGUGGGGGAUGACGGCCUUCGGGUGGUAAACUCCUUUCGACCGCGAGGAAGCCACCUGGUUGGAAGGGUGGUGACGGUAGUGGUAGAAGAAGCACCGGCUAACUACGUG
rnacentral:rRNA from 1 species